GUUGUGGCACCUGUCGUAAUCCAAACGACUCUCGGCAACGGAUAUCUCGGCUCUCGCAUCGAUGAAGAACGUAGCGAAAUGCGAUACUUGGUGUGAAUUGCAGAAUCCCGCGAACCAUCGAGUCUUUGAACGCAAGUUGCGCCCGAAGCCGUCAGGCCGAGGG
rnacentral:rRNA from 1 species